rnacentral:lncRNA from 1 species
GAAACAACUAAGAAAAUACCCAACAUCACCUGCAACCGUAGAAGAACUAACAGAACUAUUUACAGAUAUUAAGCAGACAAUAUUCAAAGUUGAAAUACAUCGGAAGCUACAGCGAGAGGCUUACAACCAAAAAAGUGGCGUCAGAAGGCUUGAAGAGUGCCUCCCCCCUCUCUAAUGAGAUGAACUUCUUUUGACGUGUCCACAUCUCAUCCUUCGACUUAAUGAGUCAUUUGUGUCAUCUGCCCAACCUAGAUGGUCUUCAAACUCAAGUACUCCCUGUAUGUAACUUUGCUGGUCUUUGGAUUUAACUUCCCGUAACCUGAAUCGCAGCAGAAGGUAUAGAAGCUGAAGAUCUGAGAACACUAAGCCUUUUCUUUUGGAAAGUUCUGGCCACUGGCUCAUUCAUACACUGUAUGCAGACUAUUUGAUAGUUUAUAAGGGGUCAAAAAAGGACUUUUUGGAAACAGAAUAUCCAACAUUACCUGGAACCGUAGAUGAACGAACAGAAAUGUCUAGAAAUGUUAUACAGAAGGCAAUAUCCAACGUUGAAAAACAUGGGAAGAUACAGCGAGAAGCUUAAACCCGUUAGUCAGUUUCGAACAAAAUUAAAAGUAGGUAACUCACUACUUUCGUUAAGAAU